rnacentral:rRNA from 1 species
GCGGCCUUAGCGCGGUGGUCCCACCUGACCCCAUGCCGAACUCAGAAGUGAAACGCCGUAGCGCCGAUGGUAGUGUGGGGUCUCCCCAUGCGAGAGUAGGGAACUGCCAGGU